UACAGAGGGGGCAAGCGUUGUUCGGAGUUACUGGGCGUAAAGGGCGCGUAGGCGGCCCGCUAAGUCGAACGUGAAAUCCCUGGGCUCAACCCAGGAACUGCGUCCGAUACUGGCAGGCUUGAAUCCGGGAGAGGGAUGCGGAAUUCCAGGUGUAGCGGUGAAAUGCGUAGAUAUCUGGAGGAACACCGGUGGCGAAGGCGGCAUCCUGGACCGGUAUUGACGCUGAGGCGCGAAAGCCAGGGGAGCAAACGGG
rnacentral:rRNA from 1 species